GGGUGGGCAAGCUCCAUGUUGGAGUCCCCGUGUCCCCAGUUUCACUUCGCCAUCUCCCAACCUGUGUGGGGCCCUCCUGUCCGGACACUUGUGGCGCGGCCCCAUUUCUCUCUCCUAUUGAGUGUCCGGUUUCUGGAGACGCCAAUCGGCGCCACCGCGGUUCCCGGUUCUAAACUCUGCACGUACCCUCGGCUCGACUCAGCUUCUCCCCAGACUCCGCGGCUGAGGAUCAUGGGGCCCCGAGCCCUCUUCCUGCUGCUGUCGGGGGCCCUGGCCCUGACCGGGACUCGGGCAGGUCCCCACUCCCUGAGCUAUUUCUCCACCGCCGUGUCCCGGCCCGACCGCGGGGAGCCCCGCUUCAUCGCCGUCGGCUACGUGGACGACACGCAGUUCGUGCGGUUCGACAGCGACGCCCCCAAUCCGCGGAUGGAGCCGCGGGCGCCGUGGAUACAGCAGGAGGGGCAGGACUAUUGGGAUCGGGAGACGCGGAACGUCAUGGGCAGCGCACAGACUGACCGAGUGAACCUGAAGACCCUGCGCGGCUACUACAACCAGAGCGAGGCCGGGUCUCACACCAUCCAGAGCAUGUACGGCUGCGACGUGGGGCCAGACGGGCUCCUCCUCCGCGGGUACAGACAGGACGCCUACGACGGCGCCGAUUACAUCGCCCUGAACGAGGACCUGCGCUCCUGGACCGCGGCGGACACGGCGGCUCAGAUCACCAAGCGCAAGUGGGAGGCGGCCGAUGUGGCGGAGCAGGAGAGGAGCUACCUGGAGGGCACGUGUGUGGAGUGGCUCCAGAAAUACCUGCAGAUGGGGAAGGACACGCUGCAGCGCGCAGAGCCUCCAAAGACACAUGUGACCCGCCACCCCAGCUCUGACCUGGGGGUCACCUUGAGGUGCUGGGCCCUGGGCUUCUACCCUAAGGAGAUCUCCCUGACCUGGCAGCGCGAGGGCCAGGACCAGAGCCAGGACAUGGAGCUGGUGGAGACCAGGCCCUCAGGGGAUGGGACCUUCCAGAAGUGGGCGGCCCUGGUGGUGCCUCCUGGAGAGGAGCAGAGCUACACCUGCCAUGUGCAGCACGAGGGCCUGCAGGAGCCCCUCACCCUGAGAUGGGACCCUCCUCAGCCCCCCAUCCCCAUCGUGGGCAUCAUUGUUGGCCUGGUUCUCGUCCUGGUCGCUGGAGCCAUGGUGGCUGGAGUUGUGAUCUGGAGGAAGAAGCGCUCAGGUAGGGAAGGGAGCAGGGAUCUGAGUCUCCUUGUCUCACGGGGGGUUUCAAGCCCAGGUGGAAAUUUGUUCUGCCUUGUUCCUGGGACGUCCCCUCCACACACAUGUGCUGAGUCUGGGGCUGAGUGCUACCACGUACCCUUUUGUGAAGCACAUGUGGAAAUGAACAACAAUUUUUUCCCCUGGAUUCUUCCAGUUGGGGACCAGUUUCUCAGCCCUUGGAGGGAGGGGAGGCCUCCGGGAGAGCAGUUGAUCCAGUCUCUCCCACAUCUCCUUCCUAUGUUAUACUCCUGAUCCUGUCCUGGAUUAUUGGACAAAGUUCUGGAACGUUCUCUGUGGUCCAGGACUAGGGUUUCCUGUAUGAUCUCAUGACUCCAUCAUCUUCCUGGUCUCUCACAUGAUGUCUCUUCCCUCAGGUGAAAAAGGAGGGAGCUACACUCAGGCUGCAGGCAGUGACAGUGCCCAGGGCUCCGAUGUGUCCCUUACCAAGGAUCCUAGAGUGUGAGACAGCUGCCUUGUGGGGACUGAGUGACACAGAUUUGUUCACGUCCCACUUUGUGACUUCAGAUCCCCUGACUCCUGUUUCUGCAGCAGCAUUUGAAUGUGUCUGUGUCCCUAUGAGCAUCCUGAGAGGAGGUGGGGACCCUGGCCCAGUCCUGCCCCCCACGUCCCCUCCUCACCCUGACCUGUGUUCUCUUCCCUGAUCCUCUUUCCAGUUCCAGCAGGUGGGGGGGCUGGGCCAUCUUCAUCCCUGUCCUAACUCUGUGUUGCACUGGUAAUGUCUUAAUUUUCCUGUUGGAAAUAAAAUCCAAUAUGAAUUUG